rnacentral:lncRNA from 1 species
CCUACAUGUUAAGAUAAAAAAAAUUAACGACGUGUUUGUCUAUAAUUGUCUAUCCUGUUACUGUAACCAUAGCAACCAUAGUAACAGGAUAGACAUAACAGGAUAGACAAAUUUCUUCGUUUUUGAUCGCUGUUGUGAAAUAACUACUCCCUUUGGUGAAGUGAUUAUGGUUUUCUAUUGUGAAUUUGGUUUCCAACACGUUAUUGCACUUUUUACAACCAUACUGUUAGUGUAAUUAAUCAAAAUGGUCGGUAACAGCAUAGACAUGAAAAAAAGUACGCUCUAUUUUUUUCACUAAAUGUCUUGAAAUUUCUUUUCUCUACACUGUCGUUCAAGAAACGAGGCGUUUUAAAUGUAAAGAUUACUUUGCAUUUUUGAAAUCAACACUGACUGAUUCAAUAUUCAUAGGGAGAAUAAUUUAACGACUGAUUUAAGUAGCGGUAACAGGAUAGACAUGAACCUCCUGUACGCUGAUUGAAUUUAAUUUGUAGAUAAUCUGUUACAUACAAUGAUAAAGAAGCUACGAUUUUUC